rnacentral:lncRNA from 1 species
AGAAGACCUGGGGCGCGCUGCUCACUGCGCAGGCGCAGUGAGCCCAGGCGGGCAGCCCUGGCCAGCAGCUCUUGUCCCUGUGGCUGGAGGCUGAAGUCCACGUAGGCCCCGGCGGGGAGCCGCUGGGGUGUAGGCCGGGUGCCUUUGUCCAAGCCUGGCGCCACUGCCCAGACACUUUACUUCAAAUUUGGCUUUAUUUUCAUCAUUGAUAUUGAUUAAAAUGACAUUCACUUGCCCGGAAAGUAAAAGAGGUCUUCAGCACAAAAUAUUGCUCCAACAAGCAAGCAUAAAUCACUGAGAUUGAAAUGUCAUCUAUCUUUAUUGGCCAACCACAUAAUCUCCAUGAAAAUUCUCAACAGAGAGCAAGGAACUCACUUUCUUCUAAGCAAAGACAAUUUGGAUUUGCCUCGUGGCACUGGCAUCUCUUCAUGUCUGGACGUCAGAUGUUAGCUUGGUGCCUUUCUCCCUUAUCAGGGGGACAUUUUGAACCCAGCCGCACCAAUGUUCUCAUGGAUGGUGGCCUUCGAUUCUUCUAGAUUCAAGAUUUGGCUCUUGUACUUUUCCUGCCAGUCCUCUACAAUGUACUGGUGGUAGGGGUCAUUGGAGUGUUCCCGUCUCUUGGAUUUCACAGUGCUCACCAGGAUGGCCACGAUGAUGAAAGAGAACAUUCCAAUCAUCACCAUGAGGUACAGGAUGACAUAGUAGAAGUUCUCAGCAUCAACUUUGGCUUGGAGGGCCUCUUGCUCAGCUGUUGUGUUCUGGCGCCAAUUGUCCAUAUAAGUAAUAAAAAUCCUUCGGAAGACGUCUUCCAGCGUCUGUGUGAAAUUGGAUAAAGUAGACAUGCUUCCCUCCUGCUGCAAUUUAAAUAAUAAAAUAGGCGAACAAGAGAAUUGUGGGGCAUUAUGAGAUAACAUCAAGAGAAAAGAUUGCAGGGGGCAUUGACAGACUCUCCAAUUUGUUCCAUCCCCUAUGUCUAAGUGGCACAUUGUCCCAAGUAUCCUAAAGGGAGGGGUGUGUACAUCUAUAUUUGAAAGAAGCAUUUUAGAAAUGGAAGCAAAACGUUCAAGUAAGAAUUCCGCUAGGAGACGGUGCCACCUGCUGGUGGGAACAGGGAACUGAGGCCAAUCUUCUAACUCAGCCCUUGCGGUUUAACUUCACUCUUGAAUUCUGGCGCCGAGGAGAGGGGAAUCAAAGCAGCGUGUUGUGCUUUGGUAAUUAAAGGCAGAACUGGACGGCGAUGUGUCAUGGAGGCUGGCAAACCAGAACUUGAGCUCCAUGACAACAGGGACCUUACCUGUAUUGCCCAUUCUGUGUCUGGCUGGAAAAAAGCUCUCACUGUAUCCCAAAAGAAUGGUGAUAAUUCUAGAUUCUGGCUGUGAUGAAAUCAACCACCUCAUCUAUUUACAAGAAUAUUAGAAGAGAUGGCAAUGAUUCUGGAGUGGAUUACACCAUUUGACUGAGGAACUACUGGAAUUUUCUUCUUCUCUAAGAUACACACAAGCAUGACGACUUCCAAUGAACAGGCCUCACCAAGAACUCUCCAAACAUGUAGGGUUUCUUUAGUUUAUCAAUGAAACAAGCAACUUGGUAGGAUGCUUCUGAAAUGCCGCUGCUGUGAUAGAGCAAACCAAGUUUUGAUAAAGUUGAUUCUCUUCUGAUGGAGCCUUCCCCCAAGGUGCUUUCCCAGCCUUGCUGGCUUCAUGCUUCUGGGAUUGAGAAGCUUGUCACCAUCAUCAACAGGCCUAGUUUGCAACGGAAAGCCAGAGAACGUCUCAGCUUCCUUGUGUUCUGUUUGCCCUGACAUUACUGAACUUUAGCAAGACCCAAAGUUAACAAAGACCCCUGUCACAGGCCGAAUGGCAGGGUAUGUUCUUUGAUUUCUGUUAGUGGAAAAUGAAUGUAACACAGAGAUCACAUGGGCUGUGAGGCCCCCCUGUAGCCUCCAGCACCCUUUCUUCCUGGAGCAUGAAUCUGGACGGAAAUGGUGCCGUAUUAGGUUUGUUUUACAAAGAUGAUUUUCAAAGAGGAAGAGGAUCAAAAGAAACAGAAAAGAACCCCCAGCGUGCAGGCCACAGGUGUGUGGGGGUUAAAACUGGAUGGGAAGGAGAGGGGGAAGUCCUGGAACUCAAGGAGGCACAACCGUGGGGGCUUCAUUUUCCCCAGGAACUAUAAAAGGCCAAUGGGCUCUUGUAGGAAAAAAGCAGAUCAGCACAGAUGGGAGCAGAGAAAGGGCUCUCACAGCAAAUUUUGCCGGCUUUCCAGUUUUUCCAUAGAUCAGACCACUUUUUGGCCUUUGCUUAGAACCAUCAAGCUUCCUCCUUAGGCAUCCAGCACAGCUCUUUCCAUAUAUGUGGCGGUUUUUUGUUUUGUUUUAAUAAAGAAAAAUGUUUAUAAGCAUUGUACACAUUGCAUACUGGAAAUCUGCCAAGAGAGUAGGUUUUAGGUGCUCUUACCACACAUACCCCCCCCCAAAACACACACGAACAUGGACAUGUUAAUGGUUGGUGUAAUAUGUUAACGGUAUGUUAAUUUGCUUGUCUGUGGUAAUCACUCCACAUAUGUACGUCAGAACAUCUUGUUGCAUAUCUUAAAUACAGACAAUAAAAAAAGAAAAUCUUGGCUGGGCGUGGUGGCUUUUGCCUGUAAUCCCAGCAUUUUGGGAGGCCAAGGAGGGAGGAUCACAUGCCAGGAGUUCGAGACCAGACUGGGUUAACAUAGUGAGAUCCCAUCUCUACAAAAAAAAAUUUUAAAAAGAAAAUCUUUGAAAAGUUAAAAGAGAAAUAUUGAAGAACAGUGAAAACAGGUGUUAUAGAAAUCAUUUUAGUUCUAUAUAAAAACUUUUAUUUGUUUGUAAAUAAAAAUAUUUGAUAUUUACAUUC